GAUGAACGCUAGCUACAGGCUUAACACAUGCAAGUCGAGGGGAAACGAUAUUGGAAGCUUGCUUCCGAUAGGCGUCGACCGGCGCACGGGUGAGUAACGCGUAUCCAACCUGCCCACCACUUGGGGAUAACCUUGCGAAAGUAAGACUAAUACCCAAUGACGUCUCUAGAAGACAUCUGAAAGAGAUUAAAGAUUUAUCGGUAAAGGAUGGCGAUGCGUCCCAUUAGUUAGUUGGCGGGGUAACGGCCCACCAAGACGACGAUGGGUAGGGGUUCUGAGAGGAAGGUCCCCCACAUUGGAACUGAGACACGGUCCAAACUCCUACGGGAGGCAGCAGUGAGGAAUAUUGGUCAAUGGGCGAGAGCCUGAACCAGCCAAGUAGCGUGCAGGAUGACGGCCCUAUGGGUUGUAAACUGCUUUUAUAAGGGAAUAAAGUGAGCCUCGUGAGGCUUUUGCAUGUACCUUAUGAAUAAGGACCGGCUAAUUCCGUG
rnacentral:rRNA from 1 species